rnacentral:rRNA from 1 species
UACGAAGGGGGCUAGCGUUGCUCGGAAUUACUGGGCGUAAAGGGCGCGUAGGCGGAUAUUUAAGUUAGAGGUGAAAGCCCAGGGCUCAACCCUGGAACAGCCUUUAAUACUGGAUAUCUUGAGUUCGGGAGAGGUGAGUGGAACUCCGAGUGUAGAGGUGAAAUUCGUAGAUAUUAGGAAGAACACCAGUGGCGAAGGCGGCUCACUGGCCCGGUACUGACGCUGAGGCGCGAAAGCGUGGGGAGCAAACAGG